rnacentral:lncRNA from 1 species
CUCUGCUACAGCUACCUUCAGCCAGUGCCUUGUAUCACAGAAAUAACUGCAAGGCAUGGAAAUACAUGCUUUCACAACACUGUGAAAACAGUGACUAUCUUGGCUUUUUCUUUGUUCAUCAUGUGCCAAACCCAGUGCUGUUUGAAAACACCUGAGCACCAUGCCAGAGCUGGUCUAUUAUGAGCCUAGCAAAUGCUCAAAAUGUCCUCCUGAAGGUAAACCUUCCAUGGCCUCAGGUGCAGCCUGAGCCCUGCCUCAUACUUAGCAGUUGCAAUUUAUGUUAACUGCUGCUAGUACUUCUUGCCCCCGGGCACUGUGGAGAGUGGUACAAAGCAUCUCUGCUCACCUUAUCCUCUUUCCCACCUCUUGCACAGAAGGCUCCAUCUGUUCUCUAGCCUUAUGCAUUUCCUAUACCUUCUGUGUACAAGAAUGCCCCAACACACUGAAGUGCAUCUGCUGAGUCUGGAUGAGUUUCUGAAGUUUUAUUUCUGAGGAAGAACUCUGCUGUAUAACAUAGACCUCAAGCAGCCAGGCAGAGUCUGAACAGAACUGUAUGCUGGCUGAAGUACACAGUCAAGAAGUGGAAACUGUGGAAGUGAAACAUCACUGGAAAUUAUAAAAGUUGGGCAGGUGGCCUUUUUCCUCAGGGAAGAUAAAAGAAAACAGAAAACCCCAACAACCUAUGCUCACAAAGAAAUCGUGCACCUUCACCUUUAUUUUUUAAAUUGCCAGUGGUUCCUGGAGAACUCUGGGGAGCCACUGAUGACUAUUAUUUUUUGCCUUCCUGUUCUAUAUUCUGCAAAUCUUUCUCUGUAACAUUUGUGUUAUGACAAUGGGGGCAUUUGCAUGCAAGCAGGAUGUUUGCGACUUAUGAACUUGUCUGCUCCUGCUGUUCAUUCCUCACCUGAAGCCAUAAUGCGCUCUCCUUAACAUCAUAAUCAUGUACACAGCAACUCAUGUUGAUGUCACAAACAAAGGCUUAUGGCUUCAGCUGAGAGAUCAGUAGGAACAGAAGGGCUCACAUAAAGAAAGAUAGUCUACAUGCAAAUGUGGCCAUUUAAGAUGGGAAAAAAUAAAAAAUGAGUGAGAGUCA